rnacentral:misc_RNA from 1 species
GAUGAAGAACGCAGCGAAAUGCGAUAAGUAAUGUGAAUUGCAGAAUUCAGUGAAUCAUCGAAUCUUUGAACGCACAUUGCGCCCAUUAGUAUUCUAGUGGGCAUGCCUGUUCGAGCGUCAUUAAUUCCACUUAAGCCCUGCUUAGUGUUGGGAAUCUACUCUAGUGGUGCUACCCUGGAGCUACCCCUGAAAGGGGGCUGGCCCGGUAGCUACCCUGUAGUUCCUCAAAGAUAGUGCGCGGAGUUGCGUGGUCCUCUGAGCUUAGUAACUAUACACCUAGCUUUUGAGUGUCCCGCGGAGCCUGCCGUUUAAACCCCAUCUUUUAAUGGUUGACCUCGGAUCAGGUAGGAAUACCCGCUGAACUUAAGCAUAUCAAUAAGCGGAGGA